GGCGUGAGAUCCAUCGAGGCGGCGUGUUCUCUCUGCCGUGAGCUUUCUCGCUAGCCGAAUUCAACUUGUAGGUCCCCAGAUCAGUCCUUCCAGGAUUUUAAGUGGUGAGGUAUGAGUGCCCGAGUCAGAUCCAGAUCCAAGCAAAGAAAAGAUGAUCCAGGGUCUGAACAGCAGGAGCAGCAACCCAGUGAUGAGCAACCGACAAAAAAGGAGGCACCACCUGAGAGUCAGGAUAUUCUACCUGAUCAUGGGAAGGAAGUUGAAGCAGGACCUGUGGCUCAAGGACGGGACCUGGAAGCUGAUCUCCAGGAGCUGCCUCAGGCAAAGGUUGGGGGUAGAACUGAAGAUGACCCUGAUGCAAGGGGCCAAGUCUACCCUUCUUAGAGCCCAUUAAAAUGCCAGAAGCAGGUGAAGGACUACUCCAGAUUUAAACAAGGACAAGCUGAAACAUGCAGACUACUCUCAUGUGGGGUACUUCACUGUUGUAGUUCUCUCAAUAAAGUGUUACAUCCGUUCCACAAAGAAUCAUUG